CGAGUAGGUGAGUAUGUAGCAGAGGUGGUGGACAAGUAGGUGAGUAUGUGUAAGAGGUGGUGGACAAGUAGGUGAGUAUGUGUAAGAGGUGGUGGAUGAGUAGGUGAGUAUGUAGCUGAGGUGGUGUACGAGGAGGUGAGUAUGUAGCAGAGGUGGUGGACGAGUAGGUGAGUAUGUGUAAGAGGUGGUGGAUGAGUAGGUGAGUAUGUAGCUGAGGUGGUGUACGAGGAGGUGAGUAUGUAGCAGAGGUGGUGGACGAGUAGGUGAGUAUGUGUAAGAGGUGGUGGAUGAGUAGGUGAGUAUGUAGCAGAGGUGGUGUACAAGGAGGUAUGUGUCAUAUGUAGUGGAUGAGGAGGAAGUGUAUGUGUAAGAGGUGGUGGAUGAGUAGGUGAGUAUGUGUAAGAGGUGGUGGACGAGGAGGUAUGUGUCAUAUGUAGUGGACGAGGAGGAAGUGUAUGUGUAAGAGAUGGUGGAUGAGCAGGAAGUGAUGCUGAGGCAGAAUUAAUCUCUCAUUGACUUUGAUUUUGCAGUUGCACAACAUUUUUUUGUUUAUUGUAAUGUGCUUUUCAUUUAGUUUUCCUUAAUCAAUGGGUUUUUGCAGUGGACUACUGUAUUUUUUGCCACUGCUGAAUAUACAGACA
ensembl:lncRNA